rnacentral:rRNA from 1 species
AGCGAACGCUGGCGGCAGGCUUAACACAUGCAAGUCGAGCGGGCAUCCUUGUGGUGUCAGCGGCAGACGGGUGAGUAACGCGUGGAACGUGCCCUUCGGUUCGGAAUAACUCAGGGAAACUUGAGCUAAUACCGGAUACGUGCGAGAGCAGAAAGGUUUAUCUGCCGAAGGAUCGGCCCGCGUCUGAUUAGCUAGUUGGUGAGGUUACGGCUCACCAAGGCGACGAUCAGUAGCUGGUCUGAGAGGAUGAUCAGCCACACUGGGACUGAGACACGGCCCAGACUCCUACGGGAGGCAGCAGUGGGGAAUAUUGGACAAUGGGGGCAACCCUGAUCCAGCCAUGCCGCGUGAGUGAUGACGGCCUUAGGGUUGUAAAGCUCUUUUCUCCGGGACGAUAAUGACGGUACCGGAGGAAUAAGCCCCGGCUAACUUCGUG